GACGAACGCUGGCGGCGUGCUUAACACAUGCAAGUCGAACGGAAAGGCCCUGCUUUUGUGGGGUGCUCGAGUGGCGAACGGGUGGGUAACACGUGAGUAACCUGCCCUUGACUUUGGGAUAACUUCAGGAAACUGGGGCUAAUACCGGAUAGGAGCUCCUGCUGCAUGGUGGGGGUUGGAAAGUUUGGGCGGUUGGGGAUGGACUCGCGGCUUAUCAGCUUGUUGGUGGGGUAGUGGCUUACCAAGGCUUUGACGGGUAGCCGGCCUGAGAGGGUGACCGGCCACAUUGGGACUGAGAUACGGCCCAGACUCCUACGGGAGGCAGCAGUGGGGAAUAUUGCACAAUGGGCGGAAGCCUGAUGCAGCAACGCCGCGUGCGGGAUGACGGCCUUCGGGUUGUAAACCGCUUUCGCCUGUGACGAAGCGUGAGUGACGGUAAUGGGUAAAGAAGCACCGGCUAACUACGUG
rnacentral:rRNA from 1 species